GGGGAGCUGUCAGGUUCCCUGACUGCCCCUAUGACUGAGCUGAGUGGUGAGAAGCUAGAAAAGACUGGGCGAGGACUUAGGAGAGCAAGACAGGAAGAAGGGAGAAAGUGACCACCUGGAGGAGGAGCAUGGAGCAGAGAGACAUGGAAAGAAGCCACACUUGAUUCUGGGCCUCGGACUUGGACUAGGAACUUGGAGGACGUGGAACGAGAUACUCGAAAGAGACAGACGUGGAACCAGACAAAACAUGGUAAAAACCAGUAAACCACAGAAAAUGUCUGUCCGGAGGUGCAGGAAGCUUUGAAGACAGUGAGAAUCGAGGAGGCUAAGAUUCAAGGAAAUGGAAGUCUCGUGAACAAAAUGCAACGUACUGAGUUGUCAACUCAUUGGAGGACAGAAUUGCAAGUUUCCUAGCCACACAUUGAAAAAUUAUUGAGUUAGGUAGUCUGUCAUUAUUCGGGCUCAUCCUGAGAAAAAUAAUAUACUGGUGGCAGGAGACUUUGCCAUGUCACAAGUGUUUCCGGAGUUAAAGUCACCUGCAAAGUCCUCUGUGCUAUUGGGGAUUCCUGCUUCUGCGUGGAGUGAGAGAAACAUCUUGACCAUCAUUCUUUUUGUGAAGACAUCACAUUGGAUGGGGAGACAUUUGCAGAGUUCAUCAUCAUUGCCAAGAAAGAGCAUGUACGUAUCCUGUGUACGUGUUAUUUCCUAAUUUUAGCUCAAAUAUUUCCCACAAACCAUAAUGUUAUUUAUUGUCUUUACACAGAUGAGGAAAUCAUGCUGGGUCUCUAGGUAACUGGGCUCAAAUCAUGACUUAAGGGGUUGGCUUUGCAUCAGCCACACUGCUUGCUGCCGUCCCCACGUCUCUAUAGCCCCAACCCUUUUAGCGUCCUCCUUAGAAACACAAAAGCAAACAUUUCAUCUUUCUGUAAACUACUAACCUCAUAGUACCUCCCUGAGUGGUUUCUUUGAAGAACGAAAUGAACUAAUAUCUGGAAAGUGAGCUGAGGGAAGCAGAAUAUUGAGGAAAUACUAUGUUUUCUUUCGUAUUUUAGUUUGGAGACAAGCUUGCGAUUUUGUGAACUUUGUAGGAACCAUCAAAAGCUUACUUUCUGGACUGUUGAGAACAGGUUGCUGUAUGUGACACAUCAUCACAGCAUCCCGUGUUUCUUGCAAACAGACAACAGACAUGAAACAAUCACAUGUGGCCAAAGCGAUCAGGAAGUUAAUACUGACACGUGAACGCAGGCUGAUCCUCAGACCCCGUUCACGUUUUGCUGAUGAUGCCAACAGCACCCUUCUGAGCAAAAGAGGCGGCCUGGAUGCACCGUGGCCUCCAGCUGUCCUUGCCUUCAUGCUUCUUCAGUGUGAAGUGAGGUCUCAGCUUCCUGGACCUGUGUGAACACAGGUCCUGUGUGAACACAGGUCACCACGGCGGCUCAGCUUUGUGCGGCUCUCCUGGAGUGUUCCUUCUUUGGGUGUGUCUGCUACUCCCUUAAGCAUUUUAAGCAAAAUCUCAGCUGUGGCACUGUCCUCUUCCCCUGCCACCUAUUAGCUGGCACACAAUUUUGAUUCAACAUUCCUGGGGGUGCCAACCUGGCCAGUGGAUUCACGUAGUCUCUGCCUCAUUUCUCUGCUGAAAGUUUGUUUUAAAAAAAAAUCUUUUGCAUGGAUAAGUAUUUUGGGGGGAGACGCUUUGAGAUGGUGUUAAUAAUGCAUCCGAAAUUUAUUCAUCUCUGCUCCAGUCUAGACAAAUGGGCUGCUCCUACUUUAUUUAGCAGAUUAUCAUCUGUUACUAAUGGAUGAUGUUCAAAUGCUUCCAGACUUGACUGGCGGGGGUCCCUUCAAGCUGUAUUGUGCGUCCCUAUGGCAGGGAAUCCUCAUCACUUUUUGAAUAAAUUCUUAUGUUUUUGGCACCACUCAGUGUUCUGACC